rnacentral:rRNA from 1 species
CAUGCUUAACACAUGCAAGUCGAACGGUAACAGGCCCUUCGGGGUGCUGACGAGUGGCGGACGGGUGAGUAACGCGUAGGAAUCUGCCCAUUAGAGGGGGAAACCCGGAGAAAUCCGGGCUAAUACCGCAUACGCCCUACGGGGGAAAGGAGGGGAUCUCUUCGGAGACCUUCCGCUAUUGGAUGAGCCUGCGUCGGAUUAGCUUGUUGGUGGGGUAACGGCCUACCAAGGCGACGAUCCGUAGCUGGUCUGAGAGGACGAUCAGCCACACUGGGACUGAGACACGGCCCAGACUCCUACGGGAGGCAGCAGUGGGGAAUAUUGCACAAUGGGGGAAACCCUGAUGCAGCAAUGCCGCGUGUGUGAAGAAGGCCUGCGGGUUGUAAAGCACUUUCAAUUGGGAAGAAAAGGGGUUGGCUAAUACCCGACCUUCUUGACGUUACCUUUAGAAGAAGCACCGGCUAACUCCGUGCCAGCAGCCGCGGUAAUACGGAGGGUGCGAGCGUUAAUCGGAAUUACUGGGCGUAAAGCGUACGUAGGCGGUUAGAUAAGUCAGAUGUGAAAGCCCUGGGCUUAACCUGGGAACUGCAUUUGAUACUGUCAGACUAGAGUGUGGUAGAGGGAAGUGGAAUUCCGGGUGUAGCGGUGAAAUGCGUAGAUAUCCGGAGGAACACCAGUGGCGAAGGCGGCUUCCUGGACCAACACUGACGCUGAGGUACGAAAGCGUGGGUAGCAAAACAGGAUUAGAUACCCUGGUAGUCCACGCUGUAAACGAUGUCAACUAGCCGUUGGGAACUUUAUGUUUUUAGUGGCGUAGCUAACGCGAUAAGUUGACCGUCUGGGGAGUACGGCCGCAAGGUUUAAACUCAAAGGAAUUGAUGGGGGCCCGCUC